rnacentral:misc_RNA from 1 species
AAGGAUCAUUACCGAGUUAGGGUCCUCUGGGCUCGACCUCCUACCCUUUGUCUACCUUACCUCUUGUUGCUUCGGCGGACCCGUCCCUCAGGGGACCGCCGGAGGGCCGAAAACCGCCCUCUGGCCCGCGUCCGUCGGUGGCCAUUUAACAAAACUCUUGCUUAAAACGUGUCGUCUGAGUAAUUAAACAAAAUAAGUAAAAACUUUCAACAACGGAUCUCUUGGUUCUG